rnacentral:rRNA from 1 species
CUGGCUCAGAACGAACGCUGGCGGCAGGCUUAACACAUGCAAGUCGAGCGGGCGUCUUCAUGGCGUCAGCGGCGGACGGGUUAGUAACGCGUGGGAACGUGCCUUCUGCUUCGGGAUAGCCUUGGGAAACUGGGGGUAAUACCGGAUGUGCCCUGAGGGGGAAAGAUUUAUCGGCAGGAGAUCGGCCCGCGUUGGAUUAGGUAGUUGGUGGGGUAAAGGCCUACCAAGCCGACGAUCCAUAGCUGGUUUGAGAGGAUGAUCAGCAACACUGGGACUGAGACACGGCCCAGACUCCUACGGGAGGCAGCAGUGGGGAAUCUUGGACAAUGGGGGCAACCCUGAUCCAGCCAUGCCGCGUGGGUGAUGAAGGCCUUAGGGUCGUAAAGCCCUUUCGCCGGGGAAGAUAAUGACGGUACC